UUUCCGUAGGUGAACCUGCGGAAGGAUCAUUAUUGUAUAACCGAGAUGCGAGGGCUGUCGCUGACCCGAAAGGUCGUGCACGCCCGAGUGCCCUCACACACAUCCAUCUCACCCCUAUGUGCACCACCGCGUGGGUCCCCCUUUGGCUUGUUCGGAGGGGGGCUUACGUUUUCACACAAACUUUGUAUGCAGUGUAGAAUGUAUUUUUUGUUCUUGCGAUCACGCAAUCAAUACAACUUUCAACAACGGAUCUCUUGGCUCUC
rnacentral:misc_RNA from 1 species